UCAAGCUACAAAGGGCGCAAGGAGAAUGCCUUGGCACUGGGAGCCGAUGAAAGACGUGGUAAGCUGCGAUAAGCUUCGGGGAGGAGCAAACAUCCUUUGAUCCGGAGAUUUCUGAAUGAGGAAACUCACCAGAGUUCAUACUCUGGUAUCCUGUACUGAAUCCAUAGGUACAGGAGGGGAACCGCCUGAACUGAAACAUCUAAGUAGGGCGAGGAAGAGACAUCAAACGAGAUUCCGUAAGUAGUGGCGAGCGAACGCGGAAGAGGGCAAACCGAAGGUAGAAAUACCUUCGGGGUACGGACUGCUUUUAGGACUCGAUCUGUUAACCGAACGGCAUGGGAAGGCCGGUCAGAGAGUGUGAGAACCACGUAGGUGAAAACGGAGAGAGCUGCGCAGAUUCCAGAGUACGGCCAGACACGUGAAACCUGGUCGGAAGAUGGGGGGACCACCCUCCAACCCUAAAUACUACCCAGUGACCGAUAGCGUAUAGUACUGUGAAGGAAAGGUGAAAAGGACCCCGGGAGGGGAGUGAAAUAGAACCUGAAACCUUGUGCCUACAAGCACAUAGAGCACAUCAACGUGUGAUAUGGUACUUUUUGUAGAACGGUCCGGCGAGCGAUUGUAUGUUGCGAGCUUAAGGUCUUAAGGACUGGAGGCGUAGCGAGAGCGAGUCUGAACAGGGCGUUCAGUAACAUGCAAUGGGCCCGAAACCGGGUGACCUACCCAUGAUCAGGCUGAAGUGAAAGUAAAAUUUCAUGGAGGGCCGAACCGACCUCCGUUGAAAAGGCGGCGGAUGAAUUGUGGGUAGCGGAGAAAUUCCAAUCGAACUCGGAGAUAGCUGGUUCUCCCCGAAAUAGCUUUAGGGCUAGCCUCAUAUUAGAUACCCGGAGGUAAAGCACUGAAUGGCCUAGCGCCCGAGAGGGUAGCGAAGCCUAUCAAACUAAGAAUGCCGGAGUAUUGAUGUAUGGGAGUCAGACAGUGUGAGAUAAAUCUCAUUGUCAAAAGGGAAACAGCCCAGAUCUACAGCUAAGGUCCCAAAUUGUAUCUAAGUGGAAAACGAUGUGGAAAUACGCAGACAACCAGGAUGUUGGCUCAGAAGCAGCCACUCAUUUAAAGAGUGCGUAAUAGCUCACUGGUCGAGCGUCUCUGCGCGGAAAAUUUAACGGGGCUAAGAUACAAACCGAAGCUUAGGCUGCACGUAAGUGCGGGGUAGGGGAGCGUUGUGUAAGCGGAGAAACAGUAGCGUAAGCGGCUGUGGAGUUUACAGAAGUGAGAAUGCCGGAAUGAGUAGCGCGAAUGUGGUGAGAAUCCACAUGGCCGGAAACCUCAGGUUUUUGGAGGAAGGUUCGUCCGCUCCAAGUUAGGCGGGAGCUAAGGUCAGGCCGAAAGGCGUAGCCGAUGCACAGACGGUAGAGAUUCCGUCCCCACCGAAAGAUUUAAGCACAGGGACACUUUUUGAAGGUCGGAGCCAGGUGUUGGUUCUGGUAGUGAUCGAGGGAAAUAUAGUACCGAAGUCCGGCUGGAAGAGAGGCGAGAAAAGCUGUGUGUAUAUCUAAGGUGCCCGUACCGCAAACCGACACAGGUAGGUAGGAAGAAGAUUCUAAGGCCAACGGGAGAAGGGUUGUUAAGGAACUCGGCAAAUUGACCCCGUAACUUCGGGAGAAGGGGUGCUCCAGAGAUGGAGCCGCAGAGAAUCGGCCCAAGCAACUGUUUACCAAAAACACAGGUUUGUGCUAAAUCGAAAGAUGACGUAUACGAGCUGACGCCUGCCCGGUGCUGGAAGGUUAAGAGGAGAUGUGCAAGCAUUGAAUCGAAGCCCCAGUGAACGGCGGCCGUAACUAUAACGGUCCUAAGGUAGCGAAAUUCCUUGUCAGGUAAG
rnacentral:rRNA from 1 species